ensembl:lncRNA
GGUGAGUAAGGAGCAGGUGGAAAUGAUGAGCACUGAUUAUGUAUCUCUUGAAAAGCAGUGAGCAGGACCUGGUGAGCGAGGCUCGGGAGCAGACGCUGAGGGGUAAGGCCGAGGAGCGAAGCCGGGGGAGACAAACACUGAAACCUGCUCACUGCGAGAAAACAAAAUAAAACUUAUUGCCCUGGAGAACCGUGUGUCCUUAACGCGAACCCCGCAGGUGGUAGCUUGAGCCUGCUACAGAGAACUUUCCUACGUUGGACGGGCGGUGAGGUUCUUUCUCAGGCACAUCUGGAGGAAGUCAUUGCAGUCUGGAGAGAGAAGGAGAAGAAAGCCUCCUUCCGCUCCGAGGUAGCUCCAGAAAUUCUUAGCGGCCAUCGGCCUCUCCGUCACCAGCACCAGCUCCUUCUCCAACUGGUAACAGUCCAGCAGGGAUACGUAUGGCGACGUCCCCUCUGAUUCGGCCGACAGCUUCAACAUGAUGGCGACCUCUACGGGGGUCGUGUUCCCUUCGUUGUCCUGUAACGCCGCGCCAGAGGUGAGGAUUAGAGAGAUUCCUCCGUGAUACAUUCUCAAACAGCGUUCUGCCUUCAAUAUUGAAGGAAUGGUUAAGUUAACUUUACGGAUUGUUUUAUUGUUUAAGGACUAAAUAAGUGUGGUCACUUUAUUUUGACAUCUGCAAUGAAACGUGAAGUGAUGCUGCAGGAAGUAGAGAGUUGUAGAGCAGUAAACGGCCGUGUGGCAUUCCACAUAUAAUCAAUCAAUCCUGUCUCUGAAUCCCCCAGAAAAGCAAUGGCUGUAAGUGUUUUAUGCUCUUUAUCUGUUGAACGAUUAAGAAUAGUGACUUUGUUACGUUUCUCUGAUUCAGUUGAUUAAGAUGUUUUGUAUUCUCUUUCCUAGUUUUUACUCUGAUUCAAAGAUGUAU